GGCUCCUGCCUCUCUUCCCUUCCUUUCAACUCCUUCCUCUAUUCCCUUCCUCUCAAACGAUGAGUCGAUGAAAUAAUCACAGAAAUAUCUUCAAUCGUUAACCUGUGUAAGUUCAUCGAUCUUUUCGAUUUAUAGGGUUUCUAAGUUUUUCAAUCGUCUGGUUUUUAGGGUUUCGAUUUGUUUCAAAUACGAUUUUGUUGAUCCGUGAAUCUGAUACGAUUUGUUUCGUCUUAGUUUCGAUUUGUUAAUCUUCUUCAAUUAAAUUUAAUUCGAUUUUUUUUUCUGAUUUCAUGUGAGGGUUUGAAGAACUGAAGAACUGAUUGUUAAUCCAACUUAAAAGUUGGGUCAUUCUUAAGCGUGAAGGGUGGGAAAGUAAGGGGUGUGAACUUGGGUAAUUGUUUGGUUGUUGAGAUAUGGAUGAAACCUGAACUAUUUGAUGGCAUUUCCAAUCCAGAUAUGCUCAUGGAGCAAAGGUUCGUUUCAGAUCUCUGAAGUUAAAUAAGUAUAUAAGUGCAAAAAAUGGAGGAGGUUCAGGUGUCUUUGUGGACCAAGAAAAAGCCAUUGAUUGGGAAACCUUCGGAGUAAGAUAGUCAUCGAUCAAAAUUUAAUACUACUUCAUUUUCAAACUUUUUCUGUACUCCUUAGUUAUGUUGGAGAUGUUUGAGAUCAUGCAACCACUCUCUGUUACAAUAAUGGAGGGUAAAUCGAUCGGAAUAUCAGUUUCGUGCCUUCACUAAACAGUUUUCAUCUUGUACUGGACAAGGGGCCUCUGUCACUGCAACAUCCAGAUCACCGUCAAAGACGGAAACAUUUACUAUUGAAGAGGGGAGGACAAGAAAGUUCGUUAAGUGUAAUUGAUUUAGCUUACGGCAAUAUAGAUGAUGAAACCAAUCACGUUAUAAGUAAUCAUGAUCUACCCACAUGGUUCAACUGAUGGUCUUCCUUAUGUCACAAUGGGUUCUGGUUCUCUUGCUGUUAUGGCCAUAUUCGCAUCACAGUACAGAGAGGGCAUGACUGGAAGUUGUCACACUGUUUGGGUUAUGUUACUCAAUUAGAUAAUUGUGGUAACUUUUUAGUGUGUAGUUACACGAUUUACCUUUUAUGCUUCUUUUGUUGGACCGUUGGGAAACUUCAGGCAUUAGUCUUGAGUUAUGCAUUUAGACAAAUUCAUUUUCCCUUAGUUGUUAUUGUUGCUUCUCUUUUUUCCUUGUUCGGAUCUUCUUCUUUGUGUUUUUGAGUCUUAGUCUAGAGAGAUUAUGUCAAACUUGUUAGAACUGUUACGUUUUUCUAUCAGUCUGUACCGUCUUGGUCGAAUCUUCAAAAGAUAAAGACGAUUGAAUAACUUCGUCAAGUUAAUUAGUUUGAGCAUGUUCUUUUAGGAGCCAUCUCAUUGUUACCAUGGCACAAUCAUCUUGGAUAUAAAGAUGAUGAACUGGAUUCAGAUUUUGUGUGCAGUGUUUGUUAUGUUUUGAAGAUCUCAUGUUAUAGUGUCGCUUUCCAUCCUAGUUGAGAUAACUUAGGUUUCUCAGGACCUGUAAAGUGAUGGAGGAAUAAUUAAGCUCAUUCCAUUCCGAUGAUCCACCUCAGUAGUUAUCCAUGGCUGUAAGUUUCUGUUGUAUGUGAAGAGAAUCGGAUGGGGAAGAGAAAAAUGCUGAUAACCAGCUUGUUUCUCCUCAGUCCUCAUUUAUCUGGAUCGCUCAUGCCUAAACAUUUAUUGAUGUAGAGCUUGUUUGUACUGCUGGAGAGAUUCCAUAAACUGUUCGAUUUUGCGAUUUUGUUGGUCUGUUUUCUUUUUUCUUCUUCUAUUGUUUCAACUCACAUUCUCAAUGUUGUCAUUCACUUGAAACUCUAAUAGUCCCAGGUAGUUACAGUUGCUUUUCCACAUGUAUGUUGAAACUUUAUGUUUGGGCCGGCAGUUUAUUAUCUGUUUGAUGUAUUUGUGGACCUCAUCUACCAAAUAACCAGACAUCUUCGACUAAGCACAUCAGUGACUUCAUGUAUCUUUAUCCCCUGGGAAGCUGCAAGAAGAUCAAUGGUUAUCCUGGUGACUGUUCAUUCAGAGCAGCUCCUGCCAAUGUUAUAAUGAACAAUUUUGCAUCCAUUGCUCAAUGCAACGUGGGUGGAUUACACUAGGAAAAAUGAUGUUGUUCACCUUCUGUGGCUCUAUGGAGUUGAUUCAUUCGGGUGAAUGGCUGAAUAAGGAGCAACAACAGUAACAACAAAUUCUUGCACCGCAACAACAUCAGCUUCACAUGCAGUUGCAACUUCAGCAUUCUUCACUACAGACACAUUCAUGGAGCCAAAUCAGUUACCACAAGCAGGUUAUUUGAAUGAUGCUUUAUUUGAUCAGAAUGGGUUGAGAACAAAACAACUUCAAGUUUUAUAAGUUUCAUGUAUACAAGUUUUGGUAUUGAAUUUAGGAUUCCGACUUAUUUCCGGCAUAAAAUGAACUGCCGGUCAGCAUUGACAUGGUCAAAAUUUGGUGCAAAAUCCAUAAACUCAAAACCUAAUGGUCGCCGUGGAGAAGAUUUGGUUCGAUUCGAGUUUUAUAUCUACAACACGUUGGAUGAAUCAAAUGGGUUUUGGGUAAAAAUUGAAAGCCAAGAACUAGGGUUCUGUUCUGGUUCGAUUUUUAAAAAGAGAGAAAAGGAGAUGUUAUGAUGGAAUCGUAGAUGGGUUUGUUGUGAUGCCAAGAAAUCAAGAUGGAGGGGAAGUUCUGAUGCAAACAGAAAAGAAUUACAACCUUGCUGGUGUUGGUUUGUAGAUCAGUGGGGGUGAUUGAAGUAUGAAUGGAAGUUCUAAUAGGUUAAGGAGAUUGGGUUUUACCCGAUUUCAGUACACAGUUAGGUUUACAGGGAUGUGGAGAUAAUGGAGUUGAUCUAGAGUUAUAGGAGCAGGAAUUGGUGGAAAGACAGUUAGAGUGUAUUCUCGGAACUUAUGGAUCCAGAAGAGAAUGAACAUGGUAUGGCUGAGUUAUGCUUCUGAUGAGUUUGUAUGGUUGUGACAUGGAUACUAGUGCUGCUUCAAGGAAAUGACAUGGUUAGUUGUUUGUUUAAUGGCUGAGAAGAUGAAGGUUAUGUUGGUAUAUCAAUGAGUGAGAAUAAGAGGCUGAUAUUAGAGAGUUGGUGGUGGUGGAUUGAGCUGAGACGGAUGGUUGAGAAGAAUGUAUGAAUGUCAAGCUGCAGAAUGGAGUAAUAUUGGACAAUGAGACUGAAGUUGACUUUAAUGUAAGAUGCCAUCUUAUUAGAGGAGACUGAGGAUGUUAAAGAUCUUAAGCCCAUGAGCGAUUGUGUGUUAAUUAAGGUUGAGGAGGCCGGGAAGGGACUGCUGGUGGAUUACUUCUAACAGAGGCUAGCAAGAAAAUCCCUUCAUUUUUUUUUUGGAAUUGAGAAGGAAGGUCAUGGAUGGUAUUUUUCAGAUUAUUCUCCAACCACCUUUCCUAGAAGUUGGUUGUCCUGUAAUUAUGUAAAUUUUUGGAUGGUAGAAACUGAAUUUGAAGAUCUUUAGGAGGAUGUCAAGAUACAAGGAUGGGAGAGUAAAGGUGCCAACAUUUUAUCUUAGGAUUCUGUAAUCGAUCUCGACUACUACAUUAUAGUGCAUGAAUUAAUGGACGUGGAUAAUGACAUUAAAAGAGAUGCAUCGAAGAACUUUCUGGUUCGCAUAGGUCGACAUGAAAUUGUUUAGACACUGAAAAUUUUGACAUUCCUGGAGCUUAGAGUUUGGGCUUCUUACUGUGGACAUAGCCAGGACUGGGUGCAAGAGAAAUUGGUGCACCUAAAGAAAGCCAAGGAUAAACUUGGUAAAUAAUGAGUGGUCUCGCAUGCUUGAUGUCAGAGACUAGGCAGGAAGUUUAAUGAAUCUCUUUGGAAAAGUUCAAGGUUCUUCUCUAUGUUCAUCAUCUUAUUGAUGUCAUUCUUUUGAUACUGCACACAGAAUUUAUAUGUCAUUGGGACAAGAAAUGUUUUUAGCUGUACUUAAAUGUGUUUCUUACUUUUUGGGUGUAUGGGUUCAUCAUGGUAUAUUAUGAUGAAUUAACAUUAAGAAAUAAUACUUUUUUUGGAUUAAUUUGAUAUCUAAAUAAACAGGGGUGACUUGAUUUUGUUACU